rnacentral:ncRNA from 2 species
GCAAUAAUAUAAGCGCCAGGACCUUAGCGGUUAUUUAUUUAAGGUCGACGAGGAAGAGGGUUAUCGAAUGAUUCGGCGGAUCCCUCUCGGUGGCUUGUCACCGUAAAGCUUGCUUAAAACCGAAGAGUAAUUUUCGGGACAAAGGCUAAGCUGACAAGACAA